rnacentral:rRNA from 1 species
GGACUACAAGGGUAUCUAAUCCUGUUUGCUCCCCUUGCUCUCGCGCCUCAGCGUCAGGUAUAAGCUAGAAAGCCGCUUUCGCCACCGGUGUUCUUCCACAUAUCUACGCAUUUCACCGCUACACGUGGAAUUCCGCUUUCUCCGCCACUCCUCUAAGAGAUAUAGUUUCAAAUGCAGCUCCAAAGUUGAGCUUUGGAAUUUCACAUCUGACUUAUAUCCCCGCCUACGCGCCCUUUACGCCCAAUAAUUCCGAUUAAUGCUUGCACCCUACGUAUUACCGCGGCUGCUGGCAC